rnacentral:ncRNA from 1 species
GAGCAGGUGCCAUGAGGCAUAAUAGAGAAUCCGGUCAGAAGCCGGAGCGGUCCCGCCACUGUAUGGGGAGUGACGCGCAGGGGAGGCUUUCUUGUUUUGAGAGCCGCCCGGUCACUGGAAAGAGCGAAGUCUUUCUGGGAAGGCGCGCGAAGCGAUGAACCGAGCCAGGAGAACUGCCUGCUUGA